rnacentral:rRNA from 1 species
UACGUAGGGCGCAAGCGUUGUCCGGAAUUAUUGGGCGUAAAGAGCUCGUAGGCGGCUUGUCACGUCGAUUGUGAAAGCCCGAGGCUUAACCUCGGGUCUGCAGUCGAUACGGGCUAGCUAGAGUGUGGUAGGGGAGAUCGGAAUUCCUGGUGUAGCGGUGAAAUGCGCAGAUAUCAGGAGGAACACCGGUGGCGAAAGCGGCGCGCUGGACCUCUUCUGACGCUGAGGCGCGAAAGCCAGGGGAGCGAACGGG